GAGUUGCGAACGGGUGAGUAACGCGUAGGUAACCUGCCUGGUAGCGGGGGAUAACUAUUGGAAACGAUAGCUAAUACCGCAUAAUAUUGACUAUUGCAUGAUAUCUGCUUGAAAGGUGCAAUUGCAUCACUACCAGAUGGACCUGCGUUGUAUUAGCUAGUUGGUGGGGUAACGGCUCACCAAGGCGACGAUACAUAGCCGACCUGAGAGGGUGAUCGGCCACACUGGGACUGAGACACGGCCCAAACUCC
rnacentral:rRNA from 1 species